ACUCCUACUCACGCAUCACUUACGCGGAGCAUCUAUACUAGUUACAUGUAGCUCUGUCGAUGGUGACGGGUGAUCCUUCAUAAUGGGGAAAUUAAAAGAUAACAGAAGGAAUAAAGGAGCAAGGCCGAGGGAAGCCAGCCUGAAAAAUUCCCAUUGCGGAUCAUCGGCUUUGCCGCCUUUCUGUCCUUCACAGGCCCUCGGCGGCAUCGCGGAUUCCCUCAGAUUGCAGUGCCCUCUACGGAUCGAGCGUUCUUUGCCGGAGAAGGCUAAUAGUGAUACUCUUGAUAAAGAAUUGGUUCCUGUUGAGCAUGGUAGAUUUAAUUCUGUUCUCUUUUGUGCAUCAUGGUGUCCAUUCUCGCAGAAUAUUCAACCCAUUUUUGAUGCACUGAGCUCCAUUUUUCCAAAAAUAAGGCAUUUAACAGUUGAAGAGAGUUCUGCUUUGCCUAGUGCCUUUUCAUGAUAUGGGAUCCACAGUUUUCCAUCCAUCUUCUUAGCCAACAGAACUGCAAUAAUUAGAUAUCACGGCUCAAAAGAUCUUGAUUCACUAGUUCCGUUCUACAGGGAAACUACAGGCCAAGAUCCAGUUGUAUACUUCUCUGAGGACCAGGCCAAGGAAAAGAGAAAGGUUGUCCUGCUAUGGAGGAUACCAACAAGAGAAUUCAUAAACAAUGAACCCUAUCUAGCAUUUUCUAUACUUUUCGUUAUCUUAAGGUCACUUGUUUAUUUCGUCUUUAAGAUCAUCUCCCAACUCAAAACCUUACGGAUGUUCUAUGCUCGCCACCAAAUGAAACUGCGCUGCUUUAGUGAAAUGAGCGAACCCCUUUGGCGUGUUCUUCAUGUAAUUAACAUGAAGAAAGCAUGGAACAAACUUCGACUCUCAAACAAAAAAAUAAAUUUUGAUAAAGGGGCUAAGAGUGCUAG